rnacentral:rRNA from 1 species
GAUGAACGCUAGCGGCAGGCCUAAUACAUGCAAGUCGAACGAGGCCAUCUCUUUCGGGAGAUGGCUUAGUGGCGCACGGGUGCGUAACGCGUAUGCAACCUACCUUUAACUGGGGGAUAGCCCCGGGAAACCGGGAUUAAUACCGCAUAAUACUAUUUGAGGGCAUCUAAGGAUAGUUAAAGAUUUAUUGGUUAAAGAUGGGCAUGCGUGCCAUUAGCUAGUUGGUAGUGUAACGGACUACCAAGGCUACGAUGGCUAGGGGUUCUGAGAGGAUGAUCCCCCACACUGGUACUGAGAUACGGACCAGACUCCUACGGGAGGCAGCAGUAGGGAAUAUUGGGCAAUGGAGGCAACUCUGACCCAGCCAUGCCGCGUGCAGGAAGAAGGCCUUCUGGGUUGUAAACUGCUUUUAUCUAGGAAGAAAACGCCCAUGCGUGGGCAACUGACGGUACUAGAUGAAUAAGCACCGGCUAACUCCGUGCCAGCAGCCGCGGUAAUACGGGA